GAUGAACGCUAGCUACAGGCUUAACACAUGCAAGUCGAGGGGCAGCAUUUCAGUUUGCUUGCAAACUGGAGAUGGCGACCGGCGCACGGGUGAGUAACACGUAUCCAGCCUGCCGAUAACUCGGGGAUAGCCUUUCGAAAGAAAGAUUAAUACCCGAUGGUAUAAUUAGACCGCAUGGUCUUGUUAUUAAAGAAUUUCGGUUAUCGAUGGGGAUGCGUUCCAUUAGGCAGUUGGUGAGGUAACGGCUCACCAAACCUUCGGUGGAUAGGGGUUCUGAGAGGAAGGUCCCCCACAUUGGAACUGAGACACGGUCCAAACUCCUACGGGAGGCAGCAGUGAGGAAUAUUGGUCAAUGGGCGCAGGCCUGAACCAGCCAAGUAGCGUGAAGGAUGACUGCCCUAUGGGUUGUAAACUUCUUUUAUAUGGGAAUAAAGUUUUCCACGUGUGGAAUUUUGUAUGUACCAUAUGAAUAAGGAUCGGCUAACUCCGUGCCAGCAGCCGCGGUAAUACGGAGGAUCCGAGCGUUAUCCGGAUUUAUUGGGUUUAAAGGGAGCGUAGGUGGACAGUUAAGUCAGUUGUGAAAGUUUGCGGCUCAACCGUAAAAUUGCAGUUGAUACUGGCUGUCUUGAGUACAGUAGAGGUGGGCGGAAUUCGUGGUGUAGCGGUGAAAUGCUUAGAUAUCACGAAGAACUCCGAUUGCGAAGGCAGCUCACUGGACUGCAACUGACACUGAUGCUCGAAAGUGUGGGUAUCAAACAGG
rnacentral:rRNA from 1 species